AAUUUUGUAGGGAUGAGGAUGUUUGUUCGUAGGAAGCUUCAAUUUGUAUGUAGCCUCUUUUGAGUUGAUAUUCUCAAUGCUUCCUCCAUCAAUGUUCACACACCUUCCUUUCACAAAUAAUGCUUGUGCAAUACAUACAAUGCCUCCUCCAGUCUUCCUCUUUGUCAUCGUUUGUUGUUUUCAUCAUUCUUCCCACAACUAAGGACUCACCUUGUGCAAACUGAAAAUGAACUCUCUCCAUCUCCUCAUUAAAGUCAUCAUAAAUUGGUUCUAACUCUUCCUUAUAUUCUGCUAGGUUCACUCUUUGUUGUAGGUGAGCAAAAAAAGUCUCUUAUCCCCACAAGUAAAAUAUCGAACCUAGGUAUUGCUAUCUCCUUUAGUUGAGGAAGAACUAAAAUUGUUUUGUCCAUAGUAAGAAAUUUUAUUUUCUCCUUUAUCACUCUUUUCAGUAUUGGUUGCACACCAUUAUUCUUGUUGCCUGCAACAACCCCUCAAUAAUUUCGUUGAGUUGUUUGAUAAUUAUGUCUUGCUCUAGAAUUAUUUUGCCAAUUGGUGCCAUAUAAGGGCUUUCUAGCACCAUAACACGAAACUCACUUUUCAACCACUAAAGCAUAUUGGAAAGCAUCCUUUAUCUUAUAAAAAUGAAUUACUCCCAUGUCAACUUUGAUAGACUGAUUUAAACUGGAAAGAUAACGACAAAUAGUUUGUUUGUUUGUGACUCUCAAACAAUCCAUCCAGAAUUGACAAAGUAUUGGACUUUGCAGUGUAGUCUUCAGCAGACUUGCUAUUUUGCUUUAAAAAUAGAACUUCUUAUACAAUUCCAUUGUAUAA
rnacentral:misc_RNA from 1 species